rnacentral:lncRNA from 1 species
AUAGAGGGCAUCUUGGCUGGAAGCAAUACGUGCGUGGAAUCCUUCCCGAGCACACAAUCUACGCCACUUCCUCUUUUUUUAACCUUCCAUAGCAUUUUCAAAACAAAGUUUUUAUGAUUUAAGCUGUCACCUGAGGUCGAGAGUUCGAACCUCUCUCACCCCCAUUUUUCUCCCAAUAAGUUUGCAAUUUUAUUUAAAUCAGAUUUAAAAUCAUAGGACAAUUCAUUUUGUGCCUCCAAUUUGGUUAGUUCUUGAUGCAGUGGCCCUUGCUCCAUUUCCAGCCAAAUUGGCAUUGGUGGCACUUGUUGUUGUACCAGUACCAAUUGCUCGGGCAACUCACGCAUUUGCUUCCACUCCACUUCCAUCCGGAGAGGCAUCGGUGGCAAUCGCUGCUAUACCAGUACCAGCCUUUGGGACACUGGAUGCACUUAUGGCCGUCCCAGUUCCAUCCAGAUUUGCAUUGCCGCUGGGCUGCUGCGCUUUUGAUUCCACCAACGUCCACUCCAACCAGGAGGAUUGUCACAAACAUGGCCAGAAGCAUCAGCUGGGACUUGCUCGCCAUUGUAUCGUCAAUCUACAAAUGUAACUAAUUGCUUUUCUUGUAUCCCUUCUUUGCUUUGCUGUGCCAGAGUCGUGCCAAUUUAUAUGGAGGAUUUGAG